GUGGCUAGUCUGGUACAAUAAUAGUGCCAUGUGCAUCUGAUGACUAAGUGUUUUUGGUGUUGUGAUGCACAAAAUACUGUACCACAGAACCUUAACUGAUAAUGGAAGCAAAAGAGUGAUUCAGCUCUGAAACUGUUUGAUACAAAUAGCUCAACAUCUCAUUAGUGUAGCUAUGGGUUUAAAAUAGUUGUACUUGAAACUGUUUAGUGAAGAGGUUAGUUAAACAGGUGAUUUCCUGAAAUAAUCUGCAUCAGCAAGUUAGCUAUUCUGGAGAAGCACUCAGCACACGGUAGCAGACUUUGGUCAUGGCAGUCAGUAGGCCAGGAAGAAAUGUUGGCAGGAACAAAUGAUGACAGUAGCUGAAACAUGUCAACAAAGUAAUACAUUUAAAAAAUACAUUAAGCAAUCUAGAAUAAUCCAUAAUGCAAGUUUCCAGUCUUUACAGCACACCGAAAUCUUCUACGGUCAGACUGAAUAUUUUUGUACCUUAUUCCAGACAGUACUUCAUUAUAUGCAGGAUUGCAGAUUUCUCGUAAUGUAAAAUAUGUUUAUUAAGAACAAAAACAAAAAAUAUAAACAAAAUGUAUACAUUUGUAUAUAUGUAUGUACAUAUCAAAUAUAUUUGUACCUUUAAGAGGAAUAUAUGUUUAUGGCAACAGAAACAAUGAGCACAGAAAUAAUGUUGCAUAUCUUACAAGUUAACAACAGUAACACAGAAAUUAAUCUGAAAUUCUAUUUCUUUUCUUUUUACUUGUGCAUUUGACUUGUACUUUUUUAAUAGAGCCUUGUUAAGUAAUAAGUAAUCAUUCACUUCAUAACAAUCAAAAUACUAAUUUUACAAACAUAACAGAAUACUUUCUAUAGUAUCCAUUGACAUUUUAUUCAUCUUAUCAGUCAAUUAUAUUUAUA